UUGGAGGGCAAGUCUGGUGCCAGCAGCCGCGGUAAUUCCAGCUCCAAUAGCGUAUAUUAAAGUUGUUGCAGUUAAAAAGCUCGUAGUCGAAUUUCGGGAUCAAUUUAUUGGUCGUGCUAUUGUACGUACUGGUAUUAUUGAUUCCUACCUUCUGACGAACCAUGAUGUCAUUAAUUUGGUGUCAUGGGGAAUCAGGACUGUUACUUUGAAAAAAUUAGAGUGUUUAAAGCAGGCUCACGCUUGAAUACAUUAGCAUGGAAUAACGAAAUAGGACGUUUGAUUCUAUUUUGUUGGUUUCUAGGAUCGACGUAAUGAUUAAUAGGGAUAGUUGGGGGCAUUAGUAUUCAAUUGUCAGAGGUGAAAUUCUUGGAUUUAUUGAAGACUAACUACUGCGAGAGCAUUUGCCAAGGAUGUUUUCAUUAAUCAAGAACGAAAGUUAGGGGAUCGAAGACGAUCAGAUACCGUCGUAGUCUUAACCAUAAACUAUGCCGACUAGGGAUCGGAUGAUCGCUAAUUUAU
rnacentral:rRNA from 1 species